CUUAGGAGCCAAUGAUGUUUUUAUUCACAAUGUCUGAACCUGACUGAAGCAUCGCAGUGAUGUAAGCUGUUGUGCUGAGGCUCCUCUGCUA